UGGAAGGAAAAAGAUAGGUAACAUUGC
rnacentral:sRNA from 1 species